UAGCAGCUGCAGUAAAUGUAUGUCACCAUA
rnacentral:piRNA from 1 species